rnacentral:lncRNA from 1 species
AGCUGAGAAGUCCGAAAUCAAGGUACCAGCAGGGUCCGGUCUGCUGAGGGCUGCUCUCUGCUGUGCCCUCCAGAGAGAACAAAUGCUGUGUCCUCCAGGAGGAAGACCUGGCUCUCUGUGAAGACAUGGCUUGGAUUUAAUUGGGUUGUAAUGCACACAAAGUAAUCAAGUCAAAUCCACAAAUGGCCGUUGAGGACAACUAUUACAAGGAAAUAAGCUUGACAAAAUGCCCCUUUACUAAUUUCUGGCCUGAAAUCUACAGACCUUACCAAAUAAAUAGAAUAGAAUCCAAGUAGCAGAUAUGUGGAAAGAAUAAGUGUGGAGAUCUAAUAUACAACAUGAGGACUCUAGGCACCCCAGUUGAUAAAUAGCAGAAUUGGAAUUUAAACAGGCCUGGUGACCCAAAAACUUGACUCUAUAUCUUACCCUGAAGAAAUAUGCAAGUGAUAUCAAGCCUGAUAUUGAAACUUUAGUCCACUUCAUCAGACUUUGGAAAAAAACGUGACACUCAACAUAGCAGGUGCCCUAGACAAUGACGGAAUCUCGUUGAAAGCUCUUUAAGCUGAAAUUAAUUUAUGCUCGACAGUGAUUAAAAGAGAAAGUGAGAAGGGGAUGGAAAUUAACAAAUCCAUCUUUAUUGCUGAGAUCCCAUUAUGAUUAUAAGGAGAGAGAAAAAUCAACGUGGCGGGUGCCAGCUGCAAUCUGAUGACCUUUCAUCUUAUUUCUCAUCUGCUGGUCCCAUCAACCCUAACUUUGUAUCUGCUAAAACUCAGGAUGUGAUAGGUUAUAUUGGGCAACAAUGACAACAAUUCAGUGGGCUAAAGAAAAAGUUUAAUUUCUGCUGAUAUUGCAUAUCCAACAAGGACUGGAAGAGGGAAUCUUCACUUUGGACCCUAAAAGGUCCAGCCUGAUUUUGAAAUUUGAAGACAAAUUGAUAGGUGGAAACACGAUUCAAGAGAAGGUGAACACACCAUUGUUACUACAGACAGAAGAUGGAUUGAGGGAAGAGUGGCUUAUUUAAUUGGUGAAUUUUAGAGAAGAAAUUGAGAAUGUCUGCUACUUUUCAUCCCUCCUGAAACUACUACUAUUUUUAGAGGUGCCUAACAUGUUGACCUGCUCUUUGUCUUCUGAAUCUAAUUGGAAACCAUCUUGGAACACACAUGUUGUAUAAAAUGAGAUACCACUAUCUGCAUCUUGUGCCUUUUGUAACAAUAUAAUAAAAUUGUCAUAUAUUGAUUGCCGGAA